rnacentral:rRNA from 1 species
UACAUGGGGUGCAAACGUUGCUCGGAAUUAUUGGGCGUAAAGCGCGCGUAGGCGGUUACUUAAGUCGGAUGUGAAAGCCCUCGGCUUAACUGAGGAAGUGCACCCGAAACUGAGUAGCUAGAGUACGAAAGAGGGUCGCGGAAUUCCCGGUGUAGAGGUGAAAUUCGUAGAUAUCGGGAGGAACACCGGUGGCGAAGGCGGCAUCCUGGACCGACACUGACGCUGAGGAGCGAAAGCCAGGGGAGCAAACGGG